UGCCGUGAUGGUGUAAUUUGCGUCCGACUCUGUAACCAGCGACAGUUGCCUGCUGUCUGAUGCUGGCGCAGAGGGGUGACGACGACCGAGGCUGAGCG
ensembl:snoRNA SNORD16 Small nucleolar RNA SNORD16